AUGUCAAAGUGCACCACAGUCAAGUUCAUGGCGAAGUUUCUUGUUGUGGCAAGUGGUGAGAAUAGUGCAGAGAAUAUUCCAAUGUUCCCUGGACUGGAAAACUUUCCAGGUGAUGUUAUCCACUCCUCAAGCUACAAGUCAGGCAAGAGCUACUCUGGCAAGAAUGUAUUGGUCAUUGGAUCUGGCAACUCCGGGAUGGAAAUUGCUUAUGACCUUGCGACCCAUGGUGCCAACACAUCGAUUGUUAUACGAAGCCCGAUUCAUGUAAUGACAAAGGAAUUAAUUCGUUUGGGGAUGACACUUGCUCACCGUCUUCCAUUGAAUCUAGUGGAUAAACUCCUUGUGAUGGCAGCGUAUUUAAUAUUUGGAGACCUGUCACAGCAUGGCAUCACAAGGACAAAAAUGGGUCCAAUGACCCUCAAAUCAGAA
rnacentral:rRNA from 1 species